rnacentral:rRNA from 1 species
UACGUGGGGGGCAAGCGUUGUUCGGAAUUACUGGGCGUAAAGGGCUCGUAGGCGGCCAACUAAGUCGGAUGUGAAAUCCCCAGGCUUAACCUGGGAACUGCAUCCGAUACUGGAUGGCUUGAAUUCGGGAGAGGGAUGCAGAAUUCCAGGUGUAGCGGUGAAAUGCGUAGAUAUCGUGAGGAACACCAGAGGCGAAGGCGGCUACCUGGACAAUUGCUGACGCUCAGGCACGAAAGCGUGGGGAGCAAAAGGG